ensembl:snoRNA
UGUGAGAGUGAUGGGUUGUACACUGGUGGAGUCACAGUACUGGGAUGCAGGCAUCUUUCAGUUCUGCCCUGGUGAAAAAAGUGCACAGGAGUUGCUCACA